AAAUGUUUCUCUAUGAGACCACAUGAGACAGCAAGUCACAUCAGAUGGGUUAUGGAAACCAGCAUAGGAAGCUUCACCGGAUUCUGGAGUCCAGGUACGUUUAUUCUUUAUUUUUAACCUUAUAAUUUGGGGGGGGGGGACCUAACUAGCAAUGCCCAAUAGGAUAUGCUACAUUAAAAAAAGUAUACACUUAAAAGAGUUGGAGUAACCCUUCAAAUUGUAUUCACAGUUUAUCCAUAUUACGAUGGGAAUCCAGUGAUUGGCUUCAUAGGAUGAAGCAGCCAGGAGUUAUACUAUUUGAUCAGAGAUGUCAAUUGAUGCUCACAAUGCUUUGUCUUAUUCUGUGCUUUCAUUAUCUGCAAACAAGCCAACAAAAUAAAGCUGUAAAUAGUGUCACAUAUUCUGGUCUCACGGAAGAAAUAGCUUGGGCUGUGAAGCUGCAGGUGAAACCAUGAAAGCUUGUGGCAAUAUGUAAUAUACAUCAGUAAUUUGGCUGCUGUUUGAGGGAUG